GACGAACGCUGGCGGCGUGCCUAACACAUGCAAGUCGAACGGGGUUACGAGAGCUUGCUCUUGUAACUUAGUGGCGAACGGGUGAGUAACGCGUGAGAAACCUGCCUCUCAGUGGGGGACAACAGUUGGAAACGACUGCUAAUACCGCAUAACACUUUAGUACCGCAUGGUACAGAAGUCAAAGCUUUAUGUGCUGAGAGAUGGUCUCGCGUCUGAUUAGCUAGAUGGCGGGGUAACGGCCCACCAUGGCGACGAUCAGUAGCCGGACUGAGAGGUUGACCGGCCACAUUGGGACUGAGAUACGGCCCAGACUCCUACGGGAGGCAGCAGUGGGGAAUAUUGGACAAUGGGGGAAACCCUGAUCCAGCGACGCCGCGUGAGUGAAGAAGUAUUUCGGUAUGUAAAGCUCUAUCAGCAGGAAAGAAGUUGACGGUACCUGACUAAGAAGCCCCGGNUAACUACGUG
rnacentral:rRNA from 1 species